GGCAGCAUGACUGUAGCAAUACAGUUGAUGGCGACCGGCAAACGGGUGCGGAACACGUACUGAACCUUCCUUUAAGUGGGGAAUAGCCCAGAGAAAUUUGGAUUAAUACCCCGUAACAUAUAGAAGUGGCAUCACUCUUAUAUUAUAGCUCCGGCGCUUAAAGAUGGCAGUGCGGCUGAUUAGGUAGUUGGCGGGGUAACGACCCUCCAAGCCGACGAUCAGUAACUGGUGUGAGAGCACGACCAGUCACACGGGCACUGAGACACGGGCCCGACUCCUACGGGAGGCAGCAGUAAGGAAUAUUGGUCAAUGGACGCAAGUCUGAACCAGCCAUGCCGCGUGGAGGAUGAAGGUCCUCUGGAUUGUAAACUUCUUUUAUUUGGGAAGAAACCCACCUUUUCUUGGGUGGUUGACGGUACCAGAUGAAUAAGCACCGGCUAACUCCGUGCCAGCAGCCGCGGUAAUACGGAGGGUGCAAGCGUUAUCCGGAUUCACUGGGUUUAAAGGGUGCGUAGGUGGGCAGGUAAGUCAGUGGUGAAAUCUCCGGGCUUAACCCGGAAACUGCCAUUGAUACUA
rnacentral:rRNA from 1 species